ensembl:antisense Gm15558 predicted gene 15558
AGUGGGCCAAGAGCAGUGCCAGGGAUGCUGAAGGCCACCUCUGGGCUUGUGAGGACUCAGACGUUCAGAAGUGCUUCCCACCUUCUUAUGAGAUGAUGUCUCUCUCUGAACCUUGAGCCCACUGAUGGCCUAGAUUGCCUGGCUGAUGAGCUGCAGGCGUCCUCCAGGGCACUCCACUGGACUCCAGCACUGAGGCUGCAGGCAUCCACAUCCACACAGAGACCCUCAGACUUGCAGAGCGAGCACAUCACUUGACUGAGCCAUCUCCCCAGGUGCCUGUUUUUGAUUUUUGAGACAGAAUUUUAUAGCUCUGAGUGACCUCAAACUCUAAAUACUCCUGCCUCAGCAUCUCAAGUGCUGGGAUUAUGGGUAUGCUCUACCAUGUUCUGCCAUGCUUGCUCUUUUUAUCAGAAGGGAAAUAAAAAAAAGUUAGGAGUCUUAGCUCAAACUCUGCCAGUCUGUGGGGAUGUGGCUCAGUUGUGGAGCUCCUGCCUAGCAUCCACUGGGCCUUAGUUUUCAUCUUCAGUGCUACAGAAAUAAAACAGCCCAAGCCAAGUCAAAAACCAGUGCCAGCCUGAUGCAUUCUUCCUAUGUACUAGAAUGGACUGAAGAAGCCCUGACACAGACUUCCCCAUAGACUAUGUUCCCGAAGAAUGGCCACCUUACCUGCUCUUCUUAUGAUGUGACUUGAUUCUCCGAUCAAAAUCUACAUUUUUUUCCUCCUUAAAUCUGAGGGCCAGUAAAAUGAUGCUAUCAAGUUUCUGAUGUAGGGCCAUCAGAAUGCUCUGGCAAGCUCUCCAUCAAGGUUCAGACCCACUGUCAGCCAUCCCCACCCCUCACUUGACCUGCCAAUGACCCCCUGAGACAUCUAGCUGAUGCCAUGUAGACUAGAGUAGGUCUCGGGGACUGAAGGUAGAGAAGUAGAAAGGUGAUUAAAAAGAAUGGAGUCAGUGGUGGCAGGACACUCAACAGCCAGAAUGUGGCUUUGGAGGAGCUCACCGACAACACCAGUGAACAGGGAGGCAGUGCGCCAUGCUGGGCUGAUGGACCACUGGGGCAUCCUCAUCCCAGAAGUUAAUUGUAACAGUCUUGAACUCAGUCCUACAAGUCAGUGCUCUUUGGCAUUAAUGCUUUAGUGAAUUGAUGACUACUUUCAUUUGGAAAAGUGCCAGUGGCCCUGAUUUCUCCCAUAGGACAGUGUCCUUCUUGGUCUAGGGUCUGAGAGAAGACAAGCCAGCUGUGACAUGGUGAGGGCGUGUGGCCAGCUGUGACAUGGUGAGGGGGGGGGGGGGGGGGGGGGGAGGAGGGAGGAGGGGAGGAACUACCUAGCUUGGUUUUCCUGGGAGGAUAAAGUAUGUCCAGGGUAUCUGUGUGAGUGACUCCCAUAGCAAAGCUCUGGUGAUGGCCACACCACUAACCUGUUUGUAGCUCUUCUCUUUUUUUCAGUGGCCCAGAAAGCUGUGGCAGAGCUGUGAGCUGAGCCAAUUGCUCAGCUUGCCUCCCUUGGACAGCCUAUGCCCUGCACACAGCUGGGCUAUCUGAGUGGAACAAGUUGGCCUGGACAGAAGUGCCAAGCUGGACUCAUCAGAGAGUCUAGGGCCUGGAGUUAGAGACAGGACAUGCACCAUGUGGCUAGUCUGGGGUUAAAGCCUUAAAAGCUUGAUCCCUAACACCAUUUCUGAGACAGGAUCUCCUGGAGCCAAGGCUGGCCUUGAACUUCCGGCAUCCCAGAGGAUGACCUUGAACUGACGUUCCUGCCUUCGCCUCUCAGUGUACUGGGCUUACAGGGAUUGCUGACAUGCUUGGCUUAAGUGGAGCAGGGGAUGGAGCUCGGGGCUCUAAGCAUGCUAGCUCAGCUCUAGCCCCUGUCUUGUUUCUUGUGUGACCUUUCCUGUCUGACUUCUCCGUACUUGAAACAUGACCUAGAAAAGGCAGGCUUUCCACCUUCCAUAACAUUACCGCCCACCUUUCCUGCCACUUACAGCAAAGAUCCCAAACUUGAAACAGUGUCAUUUCAAAGAUUUACCC